GCACUUAUGGCCGAGUGGACGAUAGCACGAGACUCAUAAUCUCGCUCUGAAAAGACGUCGCUGGUUCGAAUCCAGCUGAGUGCA
rnacentral:tRNA from 1 species